rnacentral:tRNA from 1 species
UAGGCGUUAGUCUAAAUAAGAUAGUUGAUUUCGACUCAAUAGAUCUAGAAUACGCACCUAGACGCCU